AUUGAACGCUGGCGGCAGGCUUAACACAUGCAAGUCGAGCGGAGAUGAGGUGCUUGCACCUUAUCUUAGCGGCGGACGGGUGAGUAAUGCUUAGGAAUCUGCCUAUUAGUGGGGGACAACAUCCCGAAAGGAAUGCUAAUACCGCAUACGUCCUACGGGAGAAAGCAGGGGAUCUUCGGACCUUGCGCUAAUAGAUGAGCCUAAGUCGGAUUAGCUAGUUGGUGGGGUAAAGGCCUACCAAGGCGACGAUCUGUAGCGGGCCUGAGAGGAUGAUCCGCCACACUGGGACUGAGACACGGCCCAGACUCCUACGGGAGGCAGCAGUGGGGAAUAUUGGACAAUGGGGGGAACCCUGAUCCAGCCAUGCCGCGUGUGUGAAGAAGGCCUUAUGGUUGUAAAGCACUUUAAGCGAGGAGGAGGCUACUGAGACUAAUACUCUUGGAUAGUGGACGUUACUCGCAAAAUAAGCACCGGCUAACUCUGUGCCAGCAGCCGCCGUAACAC
rnacentral:rRNA from 1 species